rnacentral:rRNA from 1 species
CGGGUGACGAGCGGCGGACGGGUGAGUAAUGUCUGGGAAACUGCCUGAUGGAGGGGGAUAACUACUGGAAACGGUAGCUAAUACCGCAUAACGUCGCAAGACCAAAGUGGGGGACCUUCGGGCCUCAUGCCAUCAGAUGUGCCCAGAUGGGAUUAGCUAGUAGGUGGGGUAACGGCUCACCUAGGCGACGAUCCCUAGCUGGUCUGAGAGGAUGACCAGCCACACUGGAACUGAGACACGGUCCAGACUCCUACGGGAGGCAGCAGUGGGGAAUAUUGCACAAUGGGCGCAAGCCUGAUGCAGCCAUGCCGCGUGUGUGAAGAAGGCCUUCGGGUUGUAAAGCACUUUCAGCGGGGAGGAAGGCGGUGAGGUUAAUAACC